UAAUUACAAGUUGUCGACACCCAGUGUUAAUAAAGAAAUUUAUAGGGCGUGUAUUGCUUGCCUUUGUCAAUAUCUGAACUAAGAGAAUCGUCAAAAUCUGAACCUGAGACCUACAAUUAAAGACAGAAUGGUAUAAUUCCAUCAAAAUAUAUAUCGCGGGCUGAAAACUAAAGGCAACUGUUAGAUGACACGUAUACGAAAUUAAGAACUAACAAAAAGAUGUUAUUGGAUUGAGUAUCAACAUCAAAAUAUAAAAUUUGAAAUAGUCAUAACCAACAUCUCAAAAGGCAUGCACGAGAGUUACCUUCAUAUUUUCUUCUAGUUUGUGUUUUAAUUCAUCGGAACAAAGCUGAUAGACAUUAAGCUGAUGUGGAUAAUCUAGUUUCUGGUGUAUAUUUUUAAUACAAAAAAAUAUUAGAAAAUGUAGAAUCAAAAUAUUAUAUUGCAAAAAUACACAUAUAUCGUAAAUGAAAAUAAACAAAACAUACACCAAAGUUCUUGACUGAUUGACAGGUCAUCUCAUCAAGCUUCACACGCUCCAAAUUUAUGAUCAGAUACCUAAAGAUAGAAUAUAUAAUAUAUUGUUGUGAAGAGCCAUUAAACUAACAGAAGUGGAAAAUUUCAAAUUUCGCAUCACAUAGUCUAGAACCACUUUUCAGUCUAGAGCCUUUACACCACGGAGAGACAUCGACACUUCCACUAGAGAUCUGGUUCAUCUCGUCGAGUUGUCUUAACUCUUGGAGUGCCCCACGAUAUUGUAACCUUUGUACUCCAUAUAUAUAAGAGAAAAAGAGUAAGACAAGAAGUAGGGCUUUUAUUCACAUUACGGGCCUAAACCUAGGUAAAUCGUAUGUCCCCCUUAAUAUAUGUUUCAGAUCCACCGGUAACCUGAUGUGAGGUUCCCGUGGAUAUCCACGUACUGAUUGUAUUAAUGCUGUUACGAUCUGACAAAAAAGGCCCUCGACAAAAAAGUUAAAUAAGAUCUUACCGAGGCAACUUAUUUAUGCUUGAAUUUUGGCCUUGCAAAUCCUGUGUAAAGAAAACAACCUUUUGUAAAAAUUCUAGUGGAACAUAAAACAAUGCAAAGUUAUGCAUAUAAGAAACCCUUCAUGAGAUACUUACGAGCGCAAGCCCUUCUAGGAGACCAUUUACUUCAGGAGUUAAUUUGCAGCUCAGAUGCUUUACCGACAGCGUCGCCGACCUACAAAACAUAUAAUGAAGCAAUAAUUAACUGAGAUAUGGAAGAACAUGGGUUAUGUGCUGCUCCUUUUGGUGCUAAUGCUUCAAUACUUCCCACUCGCUCCCGGUUCAAAAGGCUUUCAAUAUGUACUUGAUGGAGGAAUACCAAUUGUUGCCUUGGUGGUCGCUUCCUCUUCUCUUCUUGCAAUAUAUACCUCGGUAUAAUGCACAAGGAGAGAAGAAAAGGUGCGACCAUCACCAAUGGUUGAAAUAUUAGUAUGGGGGAGACAAGAGGAGGAAGCGACUGACUGAUUGGAGUUAUGGAUCUGUUAGAAUUUAAGAAACGGUGAAGGACCAAAAAACUGGAACGCGAAACAGAAGAGAACAAAGAGAGAGAUCCAAUAGAGCCCCUCCACCGCCAUGGAGGUUAUGGACAAGAGGGGGGACUCUCCUCUCAUCUAGGGGGAGGUGAAGGAAGACGAAGGAGGAGGGGUGCUCUCUCCCCCUCUCUCCCGGUGACGCCGGAGUGUCGCCGGAACAAGGAGCGUAAUGACAAUCUACAUCAAUAAUCUUGCCGCUGUCAACGCCAUCUCCCCCCCCUCUAUGCAGCGGUGUAACUUCUCUUUUUUCGUCGUAACUCUCUACUUAAACAUGGUGCU